rnacentral:rRNA from 1 species
GAAAUUUGAAAUCUGGCAGUCUUCGAUUGUCCGAGUUGUAAUCUAUAGAGGCGUUUUCCGUGCCGGACCGUGUCCAAGUCUCCUGGAAAGGAGUAUCAAAGAGGGUGAUAAUCCCGUACUUAACACGACCACCGGUGCUCUGUGAUACGUCUUCUACGAGUCGAGUUGUUUGGGAAUGCAGCUCAAAAUGGGUGGUGAAUUCCAUCUAAAGCUAAAUAUUGGCGAGAGACCGAUAGCGAACAAGUACCGUGAGGGAAAGAUGAAAAGCACUUUGGAAAGAGAGUUAAACAGUACGUGAAAUUGUUGAAAGGGAAACGAUUGAAGUCAGUCGUGUUCUUUGGAUUCAGCCAGUUCUGCUGGUCUACUUCCUUGGAACGGGUCAACAUCAGUUUUGUCCGGUGGAUAAAGGUAGUAGGAAUGUGACUUCUCCGGAAGUGUUAUAGCCUAUUAUCACAUACACUGGGUGAGACUGAGGACUGCAGCUCGCCUUUAUGGCCGGCCUUCGGGCACGUUCGAGCUUAGGAUGUUGACAUAAUGGCUUUAAACGACCCGCUGAAA